rnacentral:rRNA from 1 species
GACGAACGCUGGCGGCGUGCUUAACACAUGCAAGUCGAACGGAAAGGCCCUGCUUUUGUGGGGUGCUCGAGUGGCGAACGGGUGAGUAACACGUGAGUAACCUGCCCUUGACUUUGGGAUAACUUCAGGAAACUUGGGCUAAUACCGGAUAGGAGCUCCUGCUGCAUGGUGGGGUUUGGAAAGUUUCGGCGGUUGGGGAUGGACUCGCGGCUUAUCAGCUUGUUGGUGGGGUAGUGGCUUACCAAGGCUUUGACGGGUAGCCGGCCUGAGAGGGUGACCGGCCACAUUGGGACUGAGAUACGGCCCAGACUACUACGGGAGGCAGCAGUGGGGAAUAUUGCACAAUGGGCGGAAGCCUGAUGCAGCAACGCCGCGUGCGGGAUGACGGCCUUCGGGUUGUAAACCGCUUUCGCCUGUGACGAAGCGUGAGUGACGGUAAUGGGUAAAGAAGCACCGGCUAACUACGUG